UAUAGGCAAUUAUUCUAACAACUCUAUCCACAUGUUUUUAUCCAAGAAUCAGGGGCACCUCUGUUCAACGCAAUUCGAUCACCACUCACUUUUUACACUCUGGCCUUGCUCGCCCACACCCAGCUGUGGCAGCUAGUUUCAUCUCCACCCCACCCCACGUAGACCUCUCCGCCUCCUCGAGCUCCUGUGGACCGAGCCCCUCCGCUGGAAAAAUGCAAAGCAUAGGGGCCCUGGUCCCGCCCGCGCCCUUCCUCCGCCACUGCCUCCGACUAAGGUUGCUAGCGGCGGCGGCGCACUACUCCAUCGCAUACAAGAUGUUGGAGCUCGUCCAUGGCGGCAAGCCUCGAACAACGAGCACCAUGUGGAGCUCUCAUCUAACUCCUCGACAACUCCGCUGGAGUCGUAUCCUUGGCCAAGACCGGGGCUGUAGACGACAACAAAGCCAGGGCCAGGGCCGAACGACAACUCCAGUGCAAAUUUGAAAGCCGCCGAGAGACCAGCGGCUGCAGCUCGAUUGCAUCUUCCCGUGAAAGAAAAGCAGGUUACGAAGCUGCGCAAUAUCGUCGUGUUGCAUUAGGUACUAUGUGUUGCAGUAGAGAUUUUUUUUAUGUUGCAAAUAUUAUAGAAGUUUGUGAUUGCUGCAGAUGUAUACAAUCUCAUGAUGUUGCUUGAUGAAUUUUGAGAUGUUUAGGGUCUGUUUGGUAGAGCUCCAUCUGAUCUUGAUUCUCUAUGAGAGCUGAUUCUCUGAGAGAAGUGAUUCUGAGGCUGAGAGUGAUUCUCUUUGAUUCUAUAGCAUAAACUCUUAAAAUUAGUAUGGAGAAUCACUUCACAGAAUCAGGAGAAACUACUUUUUCAUCUCCCAGCCUCCUAGUUCAUUUCAGAGAAUCACUUCACAGAAUCAGCAGAGAAUCACUUCUUUUGUGAAAAACUGUUUGGGCAGAGCUCUUGCUAAAAUCAGCAGAGAAUCACUUCUUUUC